rnacentral:misc_RNA from 1 species
ACAACAACAACAGUAACAGUAAUAAUGGCACUGAGAAAUGAGAAAGGAGACCAGUUGAUUGAAUUCUUUUUGGCCUGCUGCCAUGAAACAUGCCCAUAGCUUGAAGACUUUCUAGGUCUUUUUGUUCAGCUUGUCUUUGUUUGGGAAAUGGACAAGUGUUUUAGGUAAUUACUAGGUGUUUUUGAUGAUAGGGUAUUGGGUAAUAGGGGGUUAGAUUAGAGGUAGCAACUAGCAAGCAGGCGUAGGAGCGAGUGACUGCAUGGUGACUAUAUGGGGGUUGUGUUUUGGCAUUUAUUCUUGCAGACUUUAUUUACUAUUUGAGCAGCUGAAUGAAAUCCAUUCGACAGAUGUGGUAGUGAUAUGAUCUUAAGAUGUAUUUUGCUUUAAUAGGCUUGUGCCUUUUAGCUCUUUAAUUCCAUUUUAUUUUUGG